rnacentral:rRNA from 1 species
CUAGCGUUGUCCGGAAUCAUUGGGCGUAAAGAGCGUGUAGGCGGUCCGGUAAGUCCGCUGUGAAAGUCGGGGGCUCAACCCUCGAAUGCCGGUGGAUACUGUCGGGCUAGAGUGCGGAAGAGGCGAGUGGAAUUCCUGGUGUAGCGGUGAAAUGCGCAGAUAUCAGGAGGAACACCUAUUGCGAAGGCAGCUCGCUGGGACGUAACUGACGCUGAGACGCGAAAGCGUGGGGAGCAAACAGG